UGCAGGAGGACCCUGAAUCAAAUGCCUCAUC
rnacentral:piRNA from 1 species